rnacentral:piRNA from 1 species
GAUAGCGACACAGAACAAAA